rnacentral:rRNA from 1 species
GAUGAACGCUAGCUACAGGCUUAACACAUGCAAGUCGCGGGGCAGCAUGGGGGUUGCUUGCAAUCCCCGAUGGCGACCGGCGCACGGGUGAGUAACGCGUAUCCAACCUGCCCUUCACCACGGGAUAACCCGGCGAAAGUCGGACUAAUACCGUAUGUUGUCCAUUGACGGCAUCCGAUUUGGACGAAAGGUUUGGCGGGGAAGGAUGGGGAUGCGUCCGAUUAGCUGGACGGCGGGGUGACGGCCCACCGUGGCGACGAUCGGUAGGGGUUCUGAGAGGAAGGUCCCCCACACUGGAACUGAGACACGGUCCAGACUCCUACGGGAGGCAGCAGUGAGGAAUAUUGGUCAAUGGGCGUAAGCCUGAACCAGCUAAGUAGCGUGCAGGAUGACGGCCCUAUGGGUUGUAAACUGCUUUUAUGCGGGGAUAAAGUGGCCCACGUGUGGGUUUUUGCAGGUACCGCAUGAAUAAGGACCGGCUAAUUCCGUG